rnacentral:tRNA from 1 species
GAGCCGUUAGCUCAGCUGGUAGAGCAUCGGACUUUUAAUCCGGUGGCCGCAGGUUCGAAUCCUGCACGGCUCACCA